GAGAUAACUCCUACGGGAGGCAGCAGUGGGGAAUAUUGGACAAUGGGGGCAACCCUGAUCCAGCCAUGCCGCGUGAGUGAUGAAGGCCUUAGGGUUGUAAAGCUCUUUUAUCCGGGACGAUAAUGACGGUACCGGAGGAAUAAGCCCCGGCUAACUUCGUGCCAGCAGCCGCGGUAAUACGAAGGGGGCUAGCGUUGCUCGGAAUCACUGGGCGUAAAGGGCGCGUAGGCGGCGUUUUAAGUCGGGGGUGAAAGCCUGUGGCUCAACCACAGAAUUGCCUUCGAUACUGGGACGCUUGAGUCUGGUAGAGGUUGGUGGAACUGCGAGUGUAGAGGUGAAAUUCGUAGAUAUUCGCAAGAACACCGGUGGCGAAGGCGGCCAACUGGACCAGUACUGACGCUGAGGCGCGAAAGCGUGGGGAGCAAACAGGAUUAGAAACCCUUGUAGUCCUCCACU
rnacentral:rRNA from 1 species